AACAUGUUGUAUUAGCUAUGAAUCACGGUUCUGUAAUCAGACUGUAUGAUUUGGAAGGGGAUUUUUAAUUGUUUUUGCUGAAGAAAUACUACUAGUCUCGGGGAGUGUCCAAUUAUAAUUAAUAUAGACAUACGACUGAGUCAAUAUAGAGAAAAGAAAUUCCAUCUGCUAAAAGUCUGUUAUAUAAGUCUACACUAUAAUGUAGAGCUGGACAUUCUAAAUAAAGCAAUGUUAAACUGUUGAAAUACUUACUUCACGUAUAGUCCUUAAGUGUAGUAAGAGUAUGUGUAGCGGUAUGUCACUGCUUCCAGUUGGGGUCUUUCAAAUGGUUUUAGAAACGGAAAUAAUUCAUCUCAUUUGAUAAACAAAUUCUAGUCUUGUAAUGGUUUCUUGUUGCUGCUGCUCUUGCUAUAAAGAUAUAUAUUUAAUUACGAUACUAGGGUUGAUUUAAGUAUUAAAUGUCUUGCAAUUCUUAGUUUUAAGUUUCAAAGUUGGUGAUGAUGAUGACUCAGUGUCAAAUUCAAUAUUGCUUUCAGAAUACUUUCACAUAAUAUUGGAAGUCGCCAUCGGUUUUUCUUUUACAAGUUGUGACUUGGAUGGAGAGUUGUGACAUUGGCACUUAUA
rnacentral:lncRNA from 1 species